rnacentral:rRNA from 1 species
CCUACGGGGGGCAGCAGUGGGGAAUAUUGCACAAUGGGCGCAAGCCUGAUGCAGCCAUGCCGCGUGUGUGAAGAAGGCCUUCGGGUUGUAAAGCACUUUCAGCGGGGAGGAAGGCGUUAAGGUUAAUAACCUUGGCGAUUGACGUUACCCGCAGAAGAAGCACCGGCUAACUCCGUGCCAGCAGCCGCGGUAAUACGGAGGGUGCAAGCGUUAAUCGGAAUUACUGGGCGUAAAGCGCACGCAGGCGGUCUGUCAAGUCGGAUGUGAAAUCCCCGGGCCCAACCUGGGAACUGCAUUCGAAGCUGGCAGGCUAGAGUCUUGUAGAGGGGGGUAGAAUUCCAGGUGUAGCGGUGAAAUGCGUAGAGAUCUGGAGGAAUACCGGUGGCGAAGGCGGCCCCCUGGACAAAGACUGACGCUCAGGUGCGAAAGCGUGGGGAGCAAACAGGAUUAGAUACCCUAGUAGUC